CUGCCUAGUGCACGGUUAGUUGACUGUCUUUCACGUUUCGAUGCAGUAUAAAUAAGUGAACUAUUAAACAUUUCAAAAAGUUUGUUAAGUAGCAAAAUGUGGUAAAGCAGAUUAAGUGUGAAACCAACAUUAUAGUGAGAUCCUUGUGAAUGGAAAAUAGCAUGAUCCAGGCUGUUCUUCAAUUGCAAAGAAAGAGAAUCAUGAUCGAAACGAAUGGAAAAUAUCCAACUAGAAUUCUCUUCAAAUUCGUGGUAAUUUUGGAAAAUAUUCUUUCCAGAGAAUAACACCUUAAAAGAAAGAACUGUGGCUGUGAUAAUGUAGCAGUAUUGUGUGAAUCUGUCGCCGCCAUUCCACAGCACAGACUGACCCAUUGGGAUGGUGAAACUGACGAGAAAACGCUGAAAUUCAAGAAAAUUAUGUUGAUGUAGAUAAAUGACAAGUGCAUAUCUGGGCUCCCUUCUUUUCUGUGGCCCCGUUUCCCUAACUAACCACUAACCAACGCCCGCCGGUGGUCACUCAC